rnacentral:rRNA from 1 species
CCUACGGGUGGCAGCAGUGAGGAAUAUUGGUCAAUGGGCGCGAGCCUGAACCAGCCAAGUAGCGUGAAGGAUGACUGCCCUACGGUUUGUAAACUUCUUUUAUAAAGGCAUAAAGUGAGGCACGAGUGCCUUUUUGUAUGUACUUUAUGAAUAAGGAUCGGCUAACUACGGUCCAGCAGCCGCGGUAAUACGGAGGAUCCGAUCGUUAUCCGGAUUUAUUGGGUUUAAAGGGAGCGUAGAUGGGUUGUUAAGUCAGUUGUGAAAGUUUGCGGCUCAACCGUAAAAUUGCAAUUGAUACUGGCAGCCUUGAGUACAGUUGAGGUAGGCGGAAUUCGUGGUGUAGCGGUGAAAUGCUUAGAUAUCACGAAGAACUCCGAUUGCGAAGGCAGCUUACUAAACUGCCACUGACGUUGAUGCGCGAAAGUGUGGGUAUCAAACAGGAUUAGAUACCCGGGUAGUC